GAUGAAGAACGUAGCGAAAUGCGAUAAGUAGUGUGAAUUGCAGAAUUCAGUGAAUCAUCGAAUCUUUGAACGCACAUUGCGCCCCUUGGUAUUCCAUGGGGCAUGCCUGUUCGAGCGUCAUUUGUACCUUCAAGCCUUGCUUGGUGUUGGGUGUUUGUCUCGCCUCUGCGCGCAGACUCGCCUCAAAACAAUUGGCAGCCGGCGUAUUGAUUUCGGAGCGCAGUACAUCUCGCGCUUUGCACUCAGAACGACGACGUCCAAAAGUACAUUUUUACACUCUUGACCUCGGAUCAGGUAGGGAUACCCGCUGAACUUAAGCAUAUCAUAAGCGGAGGA
rnacentral:misc_RNA from 1 species